rnacentral:ncRNA from 1 species
CCUGAGAUAGCUGGUGACCUAUUCAUGAUUUGAGCGAAUUCACUGAAAAAGAUUAUGGAGUCUCGUUGAGGUUCUGACGUGGAAAUCAAUCAUCAAACUUGGGUAGACGGGCGAAAGACUUAUCUAUAUAUUAGCUGG